rnacentral:lncRNA from 1 species
UUGAUUCAGUUUUCUGUGAACCUGCACUGAGAUGAAGAGAACCAAGAGAACGAGUUGAGCUACAUAUCACACUCAAACAAAAACAAUAGCCUAAUCAAGGAUCAAACUAACCCUAGAACCCUUCAUAACCGCCUUGCCCUUAUGUUUUGUGAUCACAUACACUAAACCCGUUGUGCUUAUGGUCUUUCUUUUUAGAUGGUACCUAACCCAAAUCACGUCUUUCUCUACUUGUAGAUUUCGUGGCUAGCCUUAGACAACUUACCAAAGAAGAGAUAUUCUCAAAUCUUCUUUAUGGAAUAUUUUCAAUUCUUGUUCAAAGCCUUUUAGAAAUCCUCUGUUGAUAAAUUACCAUUCUCCAAGGUAAAUCGUAGCUUGCUUAGCCUCUUAUUAACUUUUAUUUCAGUACUACAUGAGCUCCAGUUCUAGUCUUCAAUACAGCUACUCACCUUUACUUCACGAAGCACUUCUUGUACUAUUUCAUGUAACAAUUCAGGGGUGGUACAUGGACACCUGGAGGAG